rnacentral:rRNA from 1 species
CCUACGGGGGGCUGCAGUGAGGAAUAUUGGUCAAUGGACGCAAGUCUGAACCAGCCAUGCCGCGUGCAGGAAGACGGCUCUAUGAGUUGUAAACUGCUUUUGUACGAGGGUAAACGCAGAUACGCGUAUCUGUCUGAAAGUAUCGUACGAAUAAGGAUCGGCUAACUCCGUGCCAGUAGCCGCGGUAAUACGGAGGAUUCAAGCGUUAUCCGGAUUUAUUGGGUUUAAAGGGUGCGUAGGCGGUCGGAUAAGUUAGAGGUGAAAUCCCGAGGCUCAACUUCGGAAUUGCCUCUGGUACUGUUCGGCGAGAGAGUAGUUGCGGUAGGCAGAAUGUAUGGUGUAGCGGUGAAAUGCUUAGAGAUCAUACAGAACACCGAUUGCGAAGGCAGCUUACCAAGCUACUUCUGACGUUGAGGCACGAAAGCGUGGGGAGCAAACAGGAUUAGAUACCCGUGUAGUC